GAUGAACGCUGGCGGCGUGCCUAAUACAUGCAAGUCGAGCGAACAGAUAAGGAGCUUGCUCCUUUGACGUUAGCGGCGGACGGGUGAGUAACACGUGGGUAACCUACCUAUAAGACUGGGAUAACUUCGGGAAACCGGAGCUAAUACCGGAUAACAUUUGGAACCGCAUGGUUCUAAAGUGAAAGAUGGUUUUGCUAUCACUUAUAGAUGGACCCGCGCCGUAUUAGCUAGUUGGUAAGGUAACGGCUUACCAAGGCGACGAUACGUAGCCGACCUGAGAGGGUGAGCGGCCACACUGGUGUUGAGACACGGUCCGGACUCCUACGGGGGGCAGCAGUAGGAAAUCUUCCGCAAGGGGCGAAAGCCUGACGAAGCAAGGCCGCGUGAGUGAUGAAGGGUUUCGGCUCGUAAAACUCUGUUAUUAGGGAAGAACAAAUGUGUAAGUAACUGGGCACGUCUUGACGGUACCUAAUCAGAAAGCCGCGGCUAACUACG
rnacentral:rRNA from 1 species